CAGCAUGUGGUUGCUUGCAACCAAUGAUGGCGACCGGCGCACGGGUGAGUAACGCGUAUCCAACUUCCCCCCUAGUAGGGGACUAGCCCGGCGAAAGUCGGAUUAAUACCCUAUGUUGUUCAUUGAAGGCAUCUGAUUUGAACUAAAGGUUUUCCGCUAAGGGAUGGGGAUGCGUCUGAUUAGGUGUUGGCGGGGUAACGGCCCACCAAGCCAUCGAUCAGUAGGGGUUCUGAGAGGAAGGUCCCCCACAUUGGAACUGAGACACGGUCCAAACUCCUACGGGAGGCAGCAGUGAGGAAUAUUGGUCAAUGGACGGAAGUCUGAACCAGCCAAGUAGCGUGCAAGGAUGACGGCCCUAUGGGUUGUAAACUGCUUUUGUCAGGGAAUAAAGUGAGGCACGUGUGCCUUUUUGUAUGUACCUGAAGAAUAAGGACCGGCUAAUUCCGUGCCAGCCGCUGC
rnacentral:rRNA from 1 species